rnacentral:rRNA from 1 species
GACGAACGCUGGCGGCGUGCUUAACACAUGCAAGUCGAACGGUGAUGCUCCAGCUUGCUGGCGUGGAUCAGUGGCGAACGGGUGAGUAACACGUGAGCAACCUGCCCCAGACUCUGGAAUAAGCGCUGGAAACGGCGUCUAAUACUGGAUACGAAACUGGCCCGCAUGGGCAUGGUUUGGAAAGUUUUUCGGUUUGGGAUGGGCUCGCGGCCUAUCAGCUUGUUGGUGAGGUAAUGGCUCACCAAGGCGACGACGGGUAGCCGGCCUGAGAGGGCGACCGGCCACACUGGGACUGAGACACGGCCCAGACUCCUACGGGAGGCAGCAGUGGGGAAUAUUGCACAAUGGGCGAAAGCCUGAUGCAGCGACGCCGCGUGAGGGAUGACGGCCUUCGGGUUGUAAACCCCUUUCAGCAGGGAAGAAGCGAAAGUGACGGUACCUGCAGAAGAAGCACCGGCUAACUACGUG